rfam:Enterococcus sp. 6C8_DIV0013 scaffold00001, whole genome shotgun sequence.
CCACAGCUACAACCGCGCAAACUAAGUAUUCAGUUCAUACCUUAUAUAUGGCGCUUAAGCUGGCGAGUCUAAGAAAAAAG